GCCGGGUUACCCUAGCCUGGUAGGGGGCAGGCCUGCUAAGCCUGUGGUCCAUCGGGCCGCGUGUGUUCAAAUCCCACACCCGGCGCCA
rnacentral:tRNA from 1 species